CGUGUAGGCGGCUGGGUAAGUCAGAUGUGAAAGCCCUGGGCUCAACCCAGGAAGUGCAUUUGAAACUACCCAACUUGAGUACGGGAGAGGAAGGGGGAAUUCCCGGUGUAGAGGUGAAAUUCGUAGAUAUCGGGAGGAAUACCGGUGGCGAAGGCGCCCUUCUGGACUGAUACUGACGCUGAGACGCGAAAGCGUGGGGAGCAAACA
rnacentral:rRNA from 1 species